UACGUAGGUGGCAAGCGUUGUCCGGAAUCACUGGGCGUAAAGGGCGCGUAGGCGGCCACCGCAAGUCGACUGUGAAAUCUCCGGGCUUAACCCGGAAAGGUCAGCCGAUACUGCGGGGCUAGAGUGCAGAAGGGGCAACUGGAAUUCUCGGUGUAGCGGUGAAAUGCGUAGAUAUCGAGAGGAACACCUGCGGCGAAGGCGGGUUGCUGGGCUGACACUGACGCUGAGGCGCGAAAGCUAGGGGAGCGAACGGG
rnacentral:rRNA from 1 species